GGAGCCGCCGGCGCGCCAUACGAACGACGACGGGUCGCGCACUACGAGUAGGGCGCUGGUCGGCUCUGAGACCCCGAAGAAGAAGAACAGAACAAGGAAGUGGACGAGGAACAAGCCGAAGACGAAGCGGCGAGGUGGAAGAAAAGUGGUAGCGAAAUUAUAUUGCGACGGUUGUCUUUUUUUUCUGGUUUGAAACACAUUGAAACGACUGGCACCAGCCGGCGAGAGAGAAGCUGCGUUUAACUACGAGGAAAGCCCGAGAAAGAAACGAAUCUCUCCGGCUCUGUACGAGGAAGAAACUACCUUCGUGAAAAUAGCGAGUGAACCAAGUGGAUAAGGAUGUCUUCAGCGGUCGCUAAAACUUCCAAGUACACGUACCGCUCCACCGGCGGUGGUACUGCCGAUGUCAGCAUCGAAUACAGCGCCGACCUGAGCGCUCUCUCCAGACUGGAGGACAAAAUCCGCCUGCUGCAGGAUGACCUGGAGUCUGAGAGAGAGCUGCGUCAGAGGAUCGAACGUGAGCGCGCUGACUUGAGCGUGCAAGUCAUCCAGCUGUCCGAACGUCUUGAAGAGGCAGAGGGUGGCGCCGAAUCUCAAUUCGAGAUUAACAAAAAGAGGGACACGGAACUGGCCAAACUGCGCAAACUACUCGAAGAUGUUCAUCUCGAGAGCGAGGAGACAGCGCAUCUUCUGCGCAAGAAGCACCAAGAAGUCGUUGUCGAUUUCCAGGAUCAAAUCGAUCAACUUUCGAAAGCACGCGCCAAAGCUGACAAGGAAAAAUCAAAGUUUCAACAGGAGGUAUACGAACUUCUCGCUCAGCUCGAUAGUGUCACCAAAGAGAAGGUGCUGUCGAUAAAGACCGUGGAGAAACUCGAGGUGCACGUGGCCGAGCUUAACGUGAAGAUUGAAGAACUGAAUCGUACCAUCAUCGACAUCACCAAUCAUAAAACUAGAAUCUCACAGGAAAAUAUCGAGUUAACGAAAGAAGUGCAAGACUUGAAGGUCAACAUCGAGAAUGUUGUCUACUUGAAAACGCAACUGGUAGGUCAACUGGAAGAUGCUCGCCGUCGUCUCGAGGAUGAGGAUCGUCGUCGUUCAUUGGUCGAAGCUUCCUUACAUCAGGUGGAAUCGGAAUUGGAAUCCGUUCGCAUUCAGUUGGAAGAAGAAUCGGAGGCUCGUUUGGACAUCGAACGCCAAUUGGUCAAGGCGAAUGGCGAGGUGCAAGUUUGGAGAUCGAAGUAUGAAACCGAAGCUAACGCUCGUGCCGAAGAGGUGGAAGAAUUGCGUCGCAAGUACGGAGCUCGCAUUCAGGAACAAGAAGAGCAAAUUGAAACUCUGCUCGUGAAGAUCAACAAUCUCGAGAAGCAGAAAUCCCGCCUCCAAUCUGAAGUAGAGGUGCUGAUCAUCGACUUGGAGAAGGCCAAUGGAACAGCUCGCGAAUUGCAAAAACGCGUGGACCACCUGGAGAAGAUCAAUCUGGAACUCAAGGCUCGUUUGGAUGAAAGCGUGGCUUUGUAUGAACAAAGUCAACGUGAUCUCCGUAACAAACAGCAGGAACUCCAGCGUACUAAUGCCGAACUCGACAAGACACGCGAGCUGAAAGAUCAAUUGGCUCGUGAAAACAAGAAACUGGGAGAUGAUUUGAACGACGCCAAGAACCAGCUGUCUGAUAUGAAUCGCAGACUUCACGAACUGGAACUUGAACUUCGCCGAUUGGAGAACGAACGUGAGGAACUUGCUGCCGCCUAUAAAGAAGCUGAAGCAGGACGCAAGAUUGAAGAACAGCGCGCUCAGAGACUGUCCUCUGAAUUGACCCAGCUUCGUCAUGACUACGAACGCCGCCUAACUGAGAAGGAUGAAGAAAUCGAGAUCAUUCGCAAACAGACCAGUAUCGAGAUCGAGCAGCUGAACGCCCGCGUGGUCGAGGCGGAGACAAAGUUGAAGACCGAGGUGCAACGCGUAAAGAAGAAGCUGCAAGUCCAGAUCACCGAGCUGGAACUGUCCUUGGAUGUUGCCAACAAGAACAACAUCGACUUACAGAAGACCAUCAAGAAGCAAUCGCUCACAUUGACCGAACUCCAAGCCCACUACGACGAAGUUCAACGUCAACUACAGGUAACCCUAGACCAACUGGGUAUCAGUCAACGACGCCUACAAUCAUUAACAGCCGAGCUCGAAGAAGUACGCGGCAAUUACGAAUCUGCCCUCCGUGCAAAGAGAAGCGUCGAACAGCAAUACGAGGAGUCGGUUAGUCGCAUCAACGAGUUGACCACCAUCAGUGUGAAUCUUACUUCAUCGAAAGCGAAACUCGAGCAAGAACUGGCUACUCUGGCCGGAGACUACGAAGAAGUGACAAAGGAGUUGAGAGUGAGCGAUGAGAGAUACCAACGGGUACAAAAUGAAUUGAAGCACACCGUCGAAAUCCUGCACGAGGAACAAGAACGUAUUGUUAAGAUCGAGUCUAUCAAGAAGUCUCUUGAAAUUGAAGUGAAGAACUUGUCUGUGAGACUGGAGGAAGUGGAGGCCAACGCCAUCGUCGGUGGCAAGCGCAUUAUCAGUAAACUCGAAGCUAGGAUCCGCGACUUGGAGCUGGAACUUGACGAAGAGAAACGCCGACACGCCGAGACCGUAAAGAUCCUCCGCAAGAAGGAGCGCAAUAUCAAGGAAGUGAUGAUCCAAGUAGAGGAAGACGCGAAGAACAUCACGUUGUUGCAAGAAUCGUUGGAUAAAGCGAGCCAGAAAGUGAGCAUCUACAAGAGGCAACUGCAAGAGCAGGAGGGCAUGUCACAGCAGAGUGUGACCAGGGUUCGCCGGUUCCAACGAGAAUUGGAGGCUGCUGAAGACCGAGCUGACACUGCCGAGAGCAACUUGUCUCUAAUCCGCGCAAAACAUCGCAGCUUCGUUACCACCUCCACCGUGCCCGGUUCUCAGGUAUACCUCGUCCAGGAGACGAGGUCUGACCUGUAAAAGCGCCAUCGCCAUCGACACCCCAUCCUUUACCACUUCGAACGCCACCUCGUCGUCAUUAAAAACGUACAACGAGCAAACGACGAAGAAAAGGAAGAGCCUCGAUAUAUCAUCGUAAGUUGAAAGGGCCGAGAAGAGUUUCCAACGGGCCGUACCGUAAACAUCGCAAGGAGCAGCGAAAAAUAAGAGCAAAAGCGAAAAACGGUGCCAUCAUAUUUAAUUGCUUAACGACAAUGUCUAACGACCCGUCGUAAAUUCGAAACACUUGGCCAACGAAACGCCGUACCCGUCGCAACAAAAUAAACAAACGCAAAGAUCCAGAAAAGCAAAAACAUUAAUGAACAAGCAAUCAUUUUAAAAUGCACAACAUCGUCGCUAUUCGAACAAAUGGAUUAAAUAACCAAAAAAAAUGAAAAUAUAUUACACAUACAUACAUAUAUAUAAUAUAUACACGCGAGAGAAAAUCAACAACGAUUCGUUAUAUCUUCCUUGUAUUUGUUAUGUCAGCAUCACGAAGCGUAAGGAGUGGAUAUAUUAUAAAUAUAUACAUAAAUAAAUAAAUGAGGAAAAAAGUAAAAGAAAUUAAAUAAAAACGCGAGACGUAGAUUUAACUUUCUCUCUCUCUCUCUUUCUCUCUCUCUCUUUCUCUCUCUCUCUCUCUCUCUCUCUCUCUCUCCUUACGCAUCUUUGAUUGCGCGUGUCGCACUUGUAUUUAAAUGGAUUAACUUUAAUUCUACUACUAUAUUAUAGAUAGGUACUAUUGCCCAUACACACAACUCUCACUGUACGACAUACACGAUAACCUGUGUCAAACAAUAAUUUAAUAAAUAAACUGAAACACGUA